rnacentral:rRNA from 1 species
CACCGGCAGCUCUAGUGGUAGCAAUUUUUAUUGGGCCUAAAGCGUUUGUAGCCGGUUUAAUAAGUCUCUGGUGAAAUCCUGUAGCUUAACUGUGGGAAUUGCUGGAGAUACUAUUAGACUUGAGACCGGGAGAGGUUAGAGGUACUCCCAGGGUAGAGGUGAAAUUCUGUAAUCCUGGGAGGACCGCCUGUUGCGAAGGCGUCUAACUGGAACGGUUCUGACGGUGAGGGACGAAAGUUAGGGGCGCGAACCGGAUUAGAUACCCGGGUAGUCCUAACUGUAAACGAUGCGGACUUGGUGUUGGGGUGGCUUUGAGCUGCUCCAGUGCCGAAGGGAAGCUGUUAAGUCCGCCGCCUGGGAAGUACGGUCGCAAGACUGAAACUUAA